UUCUUUGAGUCAAUAAUUUUAUUUCUAUUAUUUUUCACACUGAGGAGACUUAGUUAUAUAAAGUGAUAUUCUAUGAAUUGAUUAUCAGUAGUAGAAGCACAAAGGUGUGGACAGUGAAACAACAAGAAACACCCUUUAUCAGAAUGAAGUCCAUGUGAGACAGAAGUACGUACUCCAAACAGCCUAUGUACAAAUAAAUAGCUUCCUGUCUAUGUACAAACACAUUCACAGAGAAUAAACUGACAUAGUAUCGCCAUGUAUCUCAUCAUCCAGUGAAAAUUGCUCAUAAUAAACAUAACACAUAUAAAAUGACAAGUAAUUUGGAAGUGCAUCCACUGGAUUUUUGUAGGGGUGAGGAUAGGGGUUACAAUGCUCCUUUAAAAUGGAGGUGAACAAAGGAAGCAUGAGACCACGUCUAUCCUAAAAAAGAUCCUUUACAAAAAUGGCAUUCUGAUAUUUUUAACAUAACCUGUCUAAAAGACAGUUUAUAUGUUAUAGAGCAAAUGUCUAUGUUGGUGUCAAUGUUGACAACAUUUUCUUUGUUUUAACCAUAUCUGAAGAACAAAAGUGUAAUUUCUCUUUCUUUUAGUGCUAGCAGCAACUUCACUGAAUCAAGAAGGUAGCUUUUGCUAUUCUUAGUUUUGAUGGCUUUUUGAGUCUGGAUUGCUUGAAGGUGGAAGCUGUUGCUUCCGGAGUCUUUUGACUUGAGCAGAAGAAAUAUCAAGGCUAGAUGCAGGGCAUAUAUGUGUACUUUGUGUUCAGGGUUCAAUAGCACGAUUUGGUAACAGAGGAUCCCUCUUCCGAAUAGUCUCAGCCCUUUAGAGAAACUCUUCAGACCACAAAACUGCCUCUAACAGAGGACUAUCACUGGCCCUUGGUUCAGAUACCCUUUGCUUAGGGCAAUUUGGCCAUUUAACAUAAAGUUGAUGGGGUUGUCUAAUUUAGUACCCAUGUUUACUCUAUAUAGAUAAUUUAGGUAUCCAGUUCUGGUGGAUAUUUCUAGACUAUUAAGUGCUUUUUAGUAAUUAUUUUACUUUUACUCAAAUUAUAUAAAAGGGCUGGGUAUGGUGGCUCAUGCCUUUAAUCCCAGCACUUUGGGAAGCAAAAGCAGGAGGAUCUCUUGAGCCCAGGAGUUUGAGACCAGCCUUUGUAACAUAGUGAGACCCUAUCUCUUAACAACAACAACAAUUAGCCAGGCAUGGUGGCAUGUGCCUGAGGUCCCAGCUACUCAGGAGGCUGAGGUGGGAGGAUCGCUUGAGUUCAGGUGUUUGAGGUGACACUGAGCUAUGAUUGCACCACUGCACUCUAGCCUGGGUGACACAGUGAGACCCUGUCUGUUAAAAAAAAAAAAUUAUAUAAAAAUUUGUGAUGAAGUAAAACAUUAAAGUUUUUAGUUGUGGGGACAUCUUUAUGUAUGUGUGUGUAAACUGCACGAUACUAGGUUAGAACUUGUGUAUUUUAGCAGAGAGGAGGAAAAUAACCACCAAAGCAUUAUGAAGUCUGCUGUCCUACGUGUCCUCUGAAGGAAGGUUAAUAAUUUAGGCAUAAGGAAUUAUUGAAAAAUUGUAUGUCUCUAUUUGCCAUUUUUAUAAGGGAACUUCUUACACCCAUCCUAUAUUUAUAUAAAAGCUCAAACACAUCCUACAUUUCCCAGGUAUAUGUUUGCUAAUUAUCUAUUUCAUUCUCCAUAUGGGUGAACUUUGCUUUACAUAACAAAAUGGAUUCCUGAAAAAAAUCUACAAUUUUAAAAUAAUUUCCAUGUAGUAUUAGAACUUGCUAAAUAAACUGUAAUAAGCUAUUUUGAAAACGAAGAAUGCUUUUGUGAAAUGAAUAAUUUCUUUGAUUUUCAAACAGUUUUAUUAAAGCACACAUCUAAAAUUUAUAAGUAGAUUAGGAUUGCCUAGAACCAAUAAUUGUAGUUAAUAAAAAUAGAACAGAUAAACUCCAAUUUACAAUAAACAAUACAAAACAGGAAUGACUCAUGGACUGCUUAUUGAUUGACUAUAUUCAGAAGCCCUGAAUAUAUGUAUUAUUGGUAUUUUAUGGCUUUAAUUAAGACAAUUGUCUCUUAUGAAGUACUAUAAAGUGCAAUAUUAAAAAAUUAAAAAACCCAAAAGGCAUCCAUUGUCCUUCAGUUUUAUUCUGAUGAGAAGAAUUGGGGAUUUGUGUAAUUAAAUGGCAAGAAGUUACCUACCCUUAAUUCAUGCAUGUAAUUUCAUCCUUAAAAUAAUUUUAUUCAAAGUUUCAGACUUUUUUUACUUUUCUAUUUUUUAUGACAUGAUUUAAAAAAUUAGUAUUUUCUUUUGGUUAGCUGAGUAUUUUGGAGGCCUGUUAGUCUCCAAGGCCUUAGUUACUUACGGAUCCAUUAUGAAGGAAUAUGCAACCCAAUAUGUAAGAAUGUAGAAACAAAUUCCCAUCCUUUUGGUGAACCCUAGUCCAUGAGAUCAAUCAGCAGCUUUACAAGUUCUAUCCAACCUACCACACAAAAGGAUGUAAACACACUGUAGUACUGGUUAAUAAGUGGAGAUCCAACCAUUUACCCCAGUUUCAUUUUUAAA
ensembl:lncRNA